rnacentral:rRNA from 1 species
AACGAACGCUGGCGGCAGGCUUAACACAUGCAAGUCGAGCGCCCCGCAAGGGGAGCGGCAGACGGGUGUGUAACGCGUGGGAAUCUACCCAUCUCUACGGAAUAACGCAUGGAAACGUGUGCUAAUACCGCAUACGUCCUUCGGGAGAAAGAUUUAUCGGAGAUGGAUGAGCCCGCGUUGGAUUAGCUAGUUGGUGGGGUAAAGGCCUACCAAGGCGACGAUCCAUAGCUGGUCUGAGAGGAUGAUCAGCCACACUGGGACUGAGACACGGCCCAGACUCCUACGGGAGGCAGCAGUGGGGAAUAUUGGACAAUGGGCGCAAGCCUGAUCCAGCCAUGCCGCGUGAGUGAUGAAGGCCCUAGGGUUGUAAAGCUCUUUCACCGGUGAAGAUAAUGACGGUAACCGGAGAAGAAGCCCCGGCUAACUUCGUGCCAGCCGCCGCCGUAAAAC